rnacentral:rRNA from 1 species
AUGAACGCUGGCGGCGUGCCUAAUACAUGCAAGUCGAGCGAACAGACGAGGAGCUUGCUCCUCUGACGUUAGCGGCGGACGGGUGAGUAACACGUGGAUAACCUACCUAUAAGACUGGGAUAACUUCGGGAAACCGGAGCUAAUACCGGAUAAUAUAUUGAACCGCAUGGUUCAAUAGUGAAAGACGGUUUUGCUGUCACUUAUAGAUGGAUCCGCGCCGCAUUAGCUAGUUGGUAAGGUAACGGCUUACCAAGGCAACGAUGCGUAACCGACCUGAGAGGGUGAUCGGCCACACUGGAACUGAGACACGGUCCAGACUCCUACGGGAGGCAGCAGUAGGGAAUCUUCCGCAAUGGGCGAAAGCUUGACGGAGCAACGCCGCGUGAGUGAUGAAGGUCUUCGGAUCGUAAAACUCUGUUAUUAGGGAAGAACAAAUGUGUAAGUAACUAUGCACGUCUUGACGGUACCUAAUCAGAAAGCCACGGCUAACUACGUG